rnacentral:rRNA from 1 species
UAAGGAAUAUUGGUCAAUGGAGGGAACUCUGAACCAGCCAUCCCGCGUGAAGGAUGAAGGGGCUCUGCCUUGUAAACUUCUUUUGCAUGGGACGAAAAAACUUAAUUUAUUAAGGACUGACGGUACCAUGAGAAUAAGCACCGGCUAACUCCGUGCCAGCAGCCGCGGUAAUACGGAGGGUGCGAGCGUUAUCCGGAAUCACUGGGUUUAAAGGGUGCGUAGGCGGUUUGAUAAGUCAGUGGUGAAAGGCCGUCGCUUAACGAUGGGACUGCCAUUGAUACUGUUAGACUUGAAUCAGGAUGAGGUUGGCGGAAUGUGGCAUGUAGCGGUGAAAUGCUUAGAUAUGCCAUGGAAUACCGAUUGCGAAGGCAGCUGACUGGACCUGAAUUGACGCUGAGGC